rnacentral:lncRNA from 1 species
UAUAGUUUAAUUUAAACAUAUUUAUUUAUAGUGGAUUGGGAAACAAGUUUUGCAACUUAUAUUAAUCCCUUUCCACUUUGCGGGUUCGAGUGCUGCCUUGUAGCGGCAUUAGCCUACUCUUUUUCGAAAUCUACAAGGGUGUCUUUAACGUGGAAGAGAUAUGGCUCUCUCGUAACACGGGUCAGACAUUUAUCGUCCCCUUCCGACAGACUAUCAUCGUUUCCUCAAGACC